rnacentral:tRNA from 1 species
AAGGGUAUAGCUCAGUGGUAGAGUGCGUGCUUAGCAUGCACAAGGUCCUGGGUUCAGUCCCCAGAACCUCCA